rnacentral:rRNA from 1 species
UACGUAGGGUGCAAGCGUGUCCGGAAUUAUUGGGCGUAAAGAGCUCGUAGGCGGUCUGUCACGUCGGCUGUGAAAACCCGAGGCUCAACCUCGGGCCUGCAGUCGAUACGGGCAAACUAGAGUACUGCAGGGGAGACUGGAAUUCCUGGUGUAGCGGUGAAAUGCGCAGAUAUCAGGAGGAACACCGGUGGCGAAGGCGGGUCUCUGGGCAAUAACUGACGCUGGAGGAGCGAAAGCGUGGGGAGCGAACAGG